rnacentral:rRNA from 1 species
AUUGAACGCUGGCGGCAUGCCUUACACAUGCAAGUCGAACGGCAGCAUGAUCUAGCUUGCUAGAUUGGUGGCGAGUGGCGAACGGGUGAGUAAUACAUCGGAACGUGCCCUGUAGUGGGGGAUAACUAGUCGAAAGAUUAGCUAAUACCGCAUACGACCUGAGGGUGAAAGUGGGGGACCGCAAGGCCUCAUGCUAUAGGAGCGGCCGAUGUCUGAUUAGCUAGUUGGUGAGGUAAAGGCUCACCAAGGCGACGAUCAGUAGCUGGUCUGAGAGGACGAUCAGCCACACUGGGACUGAGACACGGCCCAGACUCCUACGGGAGGCAGCAGUGGGGAAUUUUGGACAAUGGGCGAAAGCCUGAUCCAGCAAUGCCGCGUGUGUGAAGAAGGCCUUCGGGUUGUAAAGCACUUUUGUCCGGAAAGAAAUGGCUCUGGUUAAUACCUGGGGUCGAUGACGGUACCGGAAGAAUAAGGACCGGCUAACUACGUG